UGGCUCAGACGGUAAAGAAUCUGCCUGCAAUGCAGAAGACCCUAGGUUCAAUCCCUGG
rnacentral:tRNA from 1 species